UACGAAGGGGGCUAGCGUUGCUCGGAAUUAUUGGGCGUAAAGCGCACGUAGGCGGUUCUUUAAGUCAGGGGUGAAAUCCUGGAGCUCAACUCCAGAACUGCCUUUGAUACUGGGGGUCUCGAGUCCGGAAGAGGUGAGUGGAACUCCGAGUGUAGAGGUGAAAUUCGUAGAUAUUCGGAAGAACACCAGUGGCGAAGGCGGCUCACUGGUCCGGUACUGACGCUGAGGUGCGAAAGCGUGGGGAGCAAACAGG
rnacentral:rRNA from 1 species